rnacentral:miRNA from 1 species
AGAAGAAAAUCGCUCCGUCAGAAG